UGGGGAAUCUUGCACAAUGGGGGCAACCCUGAUGCAGCGACGCCGCGUGAGCGAUGAAGCCCUUCGGGGCGUAAAGCUCUUUCGACCGGAACGAUAAUGACGGUACCGGGAGAAGAAGCUGCGGCUAACUACGUGCCAGCAGCCGCGGUAAUACGUAGGCAGCAAGCGUUGUUCGGAGUUACUGGGCGUAAAGCGUGCGCAGGCGGUUUUGUAAGACAGAUGUGAAAUCCCCGGGCUUAACCUGGGAACUGCGUGUGUGACUGCAAGGCGUGAGUACGGCAGAGGGGGGUGGAAUUCCACGUGUAGCAGUGAAAUGCGUAGAGAUGUGGAGGAACACCGAUGGCGAAGGCAGCCCCCUGGGCCUGUACUGACGCUCAUGCACGAGAGCGUGGGGAGCAAACA
rnacentral:rRNA from 1 species